GGCGAACGGGUGAGUAACACGUGGGUAAUCUGCCCUGCACUCUGGGAUAAGCCUGGGAAACUGGGUCUAAUACUGGAUAUGACCUUUCUCCUUAUGGGGUUUGGUGGAAAGUUUUUCGGUGUAGGAUGAGCCCGCGGCCUAUCAGCUUGUUGGUGGGGUGAUGGCCUACCAAGGCGACGACGGGUAGCCGGCCUGAGAGUGUGAUCGGCCACAUUGGGACUGAGAUACGGCCCAG
rnacentral:rRNA from 1 species